ACUCAAAGGAAUUGACGGGGGCCCGCACAAGCAGCGGAGCAUGUGGUUUAAUUCGAAGCAACGCGUAGAACCUUACCAGGGCUUGACAUGUAGCGAACCUUGCAGAAAUGCGAGGGUGCCCUUCGGGGAGCGCUAACACAGGUGGUGCAUGGUUGUCGUCAGCUCGUGUCGUGAGAUGUUGGGUUAAGUCCCGCAACGAGCGCAACCCCUAUCGUAUGUUGCCAGCAGGUAAAGCUGGGCACUCAUGCGAGACUGCCGGUGACAAACCGGAGGAAGGUGGGGAUGACGUCAAAUCAUCAUGCCCCUUAUGUCCUGGGCGACACACGUGCUACAAUGGACGUCACAGAGCGAACCAAUCCCGCGAGGGGGAGGAAACCGCUAAAGGCGUUCUCAGUUCGGAUCGCAGGCUGCAACUCGCCUGCGUGAAGCCGGAGUUGCUAGUAAUCGCAGAUCAGCACGCUGCGGUGAAUACGUUCCCGGGCCUUGUACACACCGCCCGU
rnacentral:rRNA from 1 species